rnacentral:rRNA from 1 species
UGAGGAAUAUUGCGCAAUGGGGGCAACCCUGACGCAGCAACGCCGCGUGAGUGAGGAAGGUUUUCGGACCGUAAAGCUCUGUCGAGCGGGAAGAAAUGCAUGGUGGCUAAUAUCCAUCAUACUUGACGGUACCGCUGAAGGAAGCACCGGCUAACUCCGUGCCAGCAGCCGCGGUAAUACGGGGGGUGCGAGCGUUGUUCGGAAUUAUUGGGCGUAAGGAGCGUGUAGGCGGCCGAAUAAGUCAGAUGUGAAAUCCCUGGGCUUAACCCAGGACGUGCAUUUGAAACUAUUCGGCUAGAGUAGGGGAGAGGAAAGUGGAAUUCCUGGUGUAGAGGUGAAAUUCGUAGAUAUCAGGAGGAACACCGGUGGCGAAGGCGACUUUCUGGCCCUAUACUGACGCUGAGACGCGAGAGCGUGGGUAGCAAACAG